rnacentral:rRNA from 1 species
ACUCUUGGCAAUGGUACUUCCUGUCGCUUUUGGACCGACAAGUGGUUGUUUGGCCGAUCCAUCUAGGAGCUUGCCCCAGGCCUGGUGGCAUUGGUGCCGAGCCGAUCGCGUCGCUCUCGCACGGUCGCGGCCGCCCUCCACGACCGCAUCUGGAUCAGAGAUAUCCGUGGCUCCCCGGGCCCCGAGGCCAUGCUCCAGUAUGUCGAUCUAUGGCGCAGACUCCAGUCUAUUGAUCUUACCGUGGAGCCUGACAUCAUCCGCUGGAAAUGGACGGAGAAUGGCUGA